AACGAACGCUGGCGGCAGGCUUAACACAUGCAAGUCGAGCGCCCCGCAAGGGGAGCGGCAGACGGGUGAGUAACGCGUGGGAAUCUACCCAUCUCUACGGAAUAACUCAGGGAAACUUGUGCUAAUACCGUAUACGCCCUUCGGGGGAAAGAUUUAUCGGAGAUGGAUGAGCCCGCGUUGGAUUAGCUAGUUGGUGGGGUAAUGGCCUACCAAGGCGACGAUCCAUAGCUGGUCUGAGAGGAUGAUCAGCCACAUUGGGACUGAGACACGGCCCAAACUCCUACGGGAGGCAGCAGUGGGGAAUAUUGGACAAUGGGCGAAAGCCUGAUCCAGCCAUGCCGCGUGAGUGAUGAAGGCCCUAGGGUUGUAAAGCUCUUUCACCGGUGAAGAUAAUGACGGUAACCGGAGAAGAAGCCCCGGCUAACUUCGUGCCAGCCGCCGCCGUAACAC
rnacentral:rRNA from 1 species